rnacentral:tRNA from 2 species
GCUGGGGUGGCAGAGUGGACAAAUGCACGUGUCUGUAAAACACGCGGCGCAAGCCUACGGGGGUUCGAAUCCCUCCCCCAGCA